CGGUCUCUCAGGUUCCGGCAGCAUGGCCCUCGGAAUAAGCCGGAAUCUUUCGGCCGACCUUCAUGGUCGGCCAUUUUU
rnacentral:ncRNA from 1 species